UUAUACGGCGAAACUGCGAAUGGCUCAUUAUAUAAGUUAUCGUUCAUUUGGUAGCUGAUUACUACUUGGAUAACCGUGGUAAUUCUAGAGCUAAUACAUGCUAAAAAUCCCGACUUCGGAAGGGAUGUAUUUAUUAGAUUAAAGGCCAAUGCCCUCCGGGGCUCACUGGUGAAUCAUAAUAACUGCUCGAAUCGCAUGGCCUUGCGCCGGCGAUGUCCCAUUCAAAUUUCUUCCCUAUCAACUUUCGAUGCGAAGGUCUUGUCCUCGCAUGGUCGCAACGGGUAACGGAGGGUUAGGGCUUGACCCCGGAGAAGGAGCCUGAGAAACGGCUACUACAUCCAAGGAAGGCAGCAGGCGCGCAAAUUACCCAAUCCCGACACGGGGAGGUAGUGACAAUAAAUACUGACACAGGGCUCUUUUGGGUCUUGUGAUUGGAAUGAGUACAAUUUAAAUCCCUUAACGAGGAACAAUUGGAGGGCAAGUCUGGUGCCAGCAGCCGCGGUAAUUCCAGCUCCAAUAGCGUAUAUUAAAGUUGUUGUGGUUAAAAAGCUCGUAGUUGAACCUUGGGCCUGGCUGGCCGGUCCCCCUCACCGGGUGCACUGAUCCAGCCGGGCCUUUCCCACUGUGGAACCUCAUGGCCUUCACUGGUCGUGUCGGGGAAACAGGACUUUUACUUUGAAAAAAUUAGAGUGCUCCAGGCAGGCCUAUGCUCGAAUACAUUAGCAUGGAAUAAUAGAAUAGGACGUGUGGUUCUAUUUUGUUGGUUUCUAGGACCGCCGUAAUGAUUAAUAGGGACAGUCGGGGGCGUCAGUAUUCAAUUGUCAGAGGUGAAAUUCUUGGAUCUAUUGAAGACUAACUACUGCGAAAGCAUUCGCCAAGGAUGUUUUCAUUGAUAAGGAACGAAAGUUAGGGGAUCGAAGACGAUCAGAUACCGUCGUAGUCUUAACUAUAAACUAUGCCGACUAGGGAUCAGACGAUGUUAUUUAUUGACUCGUUUGGCACCUUUCGAGAAAUCAAAGUGCUUGG
rnacentral:rRNA from 1 species